AUUAUAGGUGUGAGCCACUGUGCCUGACCCAGAGUGAGUAUAUAAAAAUGCACAUUGUGGCUGGGCACGGUGGUUCAUGCCUGUAAU
rnacentral:miRNA from 1 species